CCUACGGGUGGCAGCAGUGAGGAAUAUUGGUCAAUGGGAGAGAUCCUGAACCAGCCAAGCCGCGUGAGGGCAGACGGCACUAUGGGUUGUACACCUCUUUUGUCGGAGAACAAAACCCGGGACGUGUCCCGGACUGCGUGUAUCCGAAGAAAAAGCAUCGGCUAACUCCGUGCCCGCAGCCGCGGUAAUACGGAGGAUGCGAGCGUUAUCCGGAUUUAUUGGGUUUAAAGGGUUCGUAGGCGGUCCGGUUAGUUCGCGGUAAAAUUGCGGGGCUAAACCCCGUCGCGCCGUUGAAACUGGCGGACUUGAGUUGGCGAGAAGUACGCGGAAUGCGUGGUGUAGCGGUGAAAUGCAUAGAUAUCGCGCAGAACUCCGAUUGCGAAGGCAGCGUACCGGCGCCAGACUGACGCUGAGGCACGAAAGCGUGGGGAUCGAACAGGAUUAGAUACCCCUGUAGUC
rnacentral:rRNA from 1 species